rnacentral:rRNA from 1 species
UACGUAGGGGGCUAGCGUUGUCCGGAAUCAUUGGGCGUAAAGCGCGUGUAGGCGGCCCGGUAAGUCCGCUGUGAAAGUCGGGGGCUCAACCCUCGAAAGCCGGUGGAUACUGUCGGGCUAGAGUACGGAAGAGGCGAGUGGAAUUCCUGGUGUAGCGGUGAAAUGCGCAGAUAUCAGGAGGAACACCAAUUGCGAAGGCAGCUCGCUGGGACGUUACUGACGCUGAGACGCGAAAGCGUGGGGAGCAAGCAGG